rnacentral:lncRNA from 1 species
AUGUCAGUGUGGACAGCUGGUCUUUUACUGAUGGUAACUGUGGUCUUCUGUCCUUCAAGAGGUCAGACUCUGUCCACUGUCAGUGGACCUCAGGACGUCUACCAGGCAGAGGAGCACAGUAACAUCACACUAACAUGGCUGUUCUCUGUCACUGCUGACAUGUCUGACUCCCUGUUCAUAGACGUCGUGUUUGUGAAACCAUUCAGAUCAGUUUACAGAUAUAACAGCAGAUCUGAAGCUGAGCCAUAUCAGGAUGAGUUCUACAGAGGACGAGUGCUGUGUGAUCCAGAGCUCGCUAGAAAAGGACGAGUUGAAUGUGUCUUUACUGAUCUGAGACUGAACGACACAGGAACGUAUCAGUGUGUUGUUGUGAUGAACAGAAACAGCAGCUCUAAACUAUGUCACCUCAAUGUUACAGGUAAGUUAACAUCACUGUUCCUUUGUUAUUUACAGACACAGUAACAGGGACACUGAGUAGUAAACAAUACAUUAACUCUAAAUACUAAACUAAAUAACUCUAUAGCUGCUGUAUUAUGGUCUUGAAGCUGUUCUUAUCAUGUGCAACAAUUUAAAACUAACACUCCCCAUCACAGGUGUCCAGCUGACACCUAAUCCAGUAUCAAUAUAGUAGUCAGUGUAAUUUCUUGACAUCAUCUGGUGACUUUUACAUCCUGUUUACGUUUAAUUGAUGUUUUUAUUUUCUGUCCAAACAAACUGUAUCAUCAGUUGUUUAAUUUCUUUACAGCUGUCAGCGAUCAACCUGUAAAUGAGACAUUAGAGACAAAGCCAGAGAGAAGAAGGAUCGGACUCUAUGUAGGGUUUGUUUUAUUUACUCUGGUGGUAUUUUCACUGACAAUCUGUUAUUUCACUGUGUGCUGAAGAGAGACCUCAGUAUUAAAUUUGGAGUUCUCUCAGCCUGUUGGAUCAAAAUUGAUUGUUGACUGAUUUCAGUCACUUUUUAGUCUCUUGAACUUCUUACCCAGUUAUUACAGAUCAUUACCUCAUGUAUCUGUUUUUGUAAUGAUGCUGUUUGUUAUAUCUGACCUGUUGUCUCCCUUGAACUGGACCACAGAGCAGUGCACAUACAUGCUGUCACCUCCUCAAAGCUAAGUCAGAACAUGCUUUUUUAAAGUAACAGCUUGUUUACAUCAAUGUAUUUUAAUCACUUUAUUCUCUGAAAAAAAGGAAAGCUGUUAAAAUAAUCUAUAUUAGCUACGUCUGUUUUUACAAAUGUACUUGACGCUGUAAAUGUUCUCUGUGACUCUGAGGGAAUGAAGGAUCCAGAAUAGUUGGAGCUAUGUUUGGAUAAAAUGUCGUCAUAUCAGCUGCUGCUUUGUAUUUAAAAUAUGUGUUUUUCCGUUUCCUGUGAGUUCAGUGUUUUCACCAGACAUUAACAGUUUAAAAUCACAUAUGUAGUAGUGGAGUUUGAUAUGAUGAGUCAGUUUUACUUCUGGUAUAUCCCAGUGGUUGUAUACUGUACUUUGAUACCUAAUGAAAGUUAGUGUCAGUGUGACAACAUGUUUCCUCCAUAUUCACUUUAAUAUAAAGUGUUUGGUGUUUAAUGAGACAGAGUUAAACAUGAGGUCCAGUUCUUCUUACUGACAAAGCUGGAGAGGUCACUUUGAAUUAGCAUUGUAAACUGUUUCCCAACACUGUACUCCUUUAAAAUUGGUUCAGAUUUUUUGCUAAUAAGCUAAAAUAGCUGCUUCUGUUUUAAACCAACAGCAAGAAACAAACAGUGUAUUACACUAACAUUAAUUCUGCCUCCUCUCAUUUAUAAAGUUCCUAAUUUUUUACACUUGAGAUUUUAGCACCUUGUUAUCACCUUGAUUGCCUUAAAGUGUCCGUGGUUAAAGCAGGUUAUAAAGUCAGCAACGUUUCUCACAGUGAGACAUAAAGAUCAAACUUUAACUUUUAACUUUAAUAACCUUUAAGGACUAAUGGCAAAUUGCUAAAUAUUAUAUUUAUAUAUAUAUAUAUAUAUAUAUAUAUAUAUAUAUAUAUAUAUAUAUAUAUAUAUAUAUAUAUAUAUAUAUAUUAUAUGCUGUGUUCAUCUCUUAUCAGUUGUAUUUACAUGAUUUAACUGUGGAAAUCUAAUUUCUUUAAUAAACUGUUUGUCCACAUGAUGGAGCUAAAGAUCAGACAGUCGAGGCAACAACCUGAUAGUUGGACUAAAGGGAAGCAGCUGUGUUGUUGAUUCUAGUUUGAAGGUUUAAUUUUAGGUUUCAGUUUGAUUUUAGAGGAUGUUUUUACUCUUUCUCACCAGUUGGUGGCGCCCUCCACACACUCAGCUGAGGUCUGUGUACUGUAGUUCUCUGCUGACUGUGAAACCAUGUGGUUUGUCUGUGGACUGUAUUUUACCACUCUGGAUGUGGUUUCUACCUGGACCUCCUCCUCCAUCCUGAGCUGCACUGAUACUGAAUUGUGCUUUAGACACAGUCACAGCUGUGGAUCCAACCAGUGACAGUUUAAUUCAGUCUAAUAAUACAGGUCAGCUUGUUUCUAAGCAGCAGAGAGUCUCAUUCUGAACUUUAGGUCGACAAUAGAUUAGUGGUGUUAUGAGAUAUUUAGUCUCCAUAAAGUUUGGUCUCUGUUUCAGUUAAUCAACAAAGAAUCUAAUUCACAUUUUAAUUAGAUGGAGGUCAAAUAAAGUAUUUUAUGGUGAUGUUCACCUUUUAACUUGUGGCUGAAUUUAUUGUCUUUCUCUGUUUUUAUUAGUUAGAUUUUUGUUUGUUUCUUUAAAAGAGAGAAACUAACUUCCUGUUUUCUCCAGUGUGUCAGUAACUGAGACACAGACCAAGUUCUCCCCCUGCUGACUGAUUAACAACCCCCUCUGAUACUUAACUGACCAGAUCAAUGUCCCGGAAGAUGCUAUACUUUGAUUAAUUUGUUCCUUUAAAACUCCCAGAGUUUUCCUCUUCUGGCCAUUGAGAAGGAAACAAAAAUCAAAACACAAAUAUGAACGUUUUCUCUCUUUUCUUUCUUCCUCAAACUUUUGGUUAACAACAGUCAGUAGAGCUGCUGUCAGUAACAGUCCCAGUCCUAGUCCCAGUCCUAGUCCCAGUCCAGUGUAGAGGUAGAUCCUCUCUGGACCCUCUGCUGGUGGACUCACAGUUGGUCUCUGAGGUUUGUGCUGAUCAGAAGCUGCUGUAAAGAACACAUCAUAUCAUCAUCUGUCAGAGAAAUCACUGUCACUGAGACUUGAUGUCAGUUCUCUGUUCAUUUGUGUUAACAGCUGACAGGAAAUGUCCAAAAGGUCAAAGGUCACAGAGAAACUGUCCAGAAAUAUGAGCAAAUUGAAAGAAAUGAAACAGAGUAAAAAGAGCAUCUGGAACAUCUGUAGUUUUAAAUGAUGAUCUGGACGAUCAAACAGUUCCAGAUGUUCAGUAGUUCAACAUCAGUAACUACUGUACUGGAUGGAACAGUUCUGGAUUUAAACAGAGAAUCAGAAGCUGACAAAAUAAAGACAUUUCUAAAUGAUGUGUUCACUCAUUUUCUUGCUGAGUUUCACAGAAGAAGAUUAGUGUCUGCAGCUAAAUGUUGAGAAUUAAAUAUAAAAAUAGAAAUAAACAGUGUGUGAUACGAUGUCCUGUGAAAACUGAAAUUUGUCCUGUUGGUUUUUCUCCAGUUUAAAUGAAAGUAACUCCUUUUUAAAGAAUGGAACAAUAAACUGUAUAAUGUGGUGAUUGAUGAUCUUUAGAGAAGUCAGUAAGUGCAUAUUGUAUCUUUUAGACAGAGCUGGUCUUUAUACUAAACUAUCUGUUUUAUACUUGAUAUACGGACAUGAGGGAGGAAGAUUCCUAGUUUCUUCAGUUUUUUAAAUAAUAAACCUAAUAAAAUAAAUCAGAUUUAUGCUGAUCACAAACUCUUUACUGAGAAAAAUAUGAAUUUUUGUUACUUUUUUUUUUUGUG